UCUGCUCUAUGAUGUGUUCGUUAGCUAUCUCUCUUACGGAUAAUACCGAAGUAUUUAUUUAUACUCUUAAAUUGAUGUGUGAACCCCAUAAUAAAUUCCAUCUUUCUUCCUUUAAUUAUUUUUACCCUGCUCUAUGAUGUGUUUGUUAGCUCUCUCUCUUACUGAUAAUGAUGAUAAGCUUUUUUAAUUACUAACCACAUAAAACACCUCAAUUUAACAGGUGCCUUAGAGUUCCAGAUUUGUUUCCAUGUCCAUGAGUAGGUUAGUUAGCAUCUUUAGGAUAUAGAGUAGUAUCAUCUUACUGUGUAGAUGACAUUUCCCUUCCUUUUCCAUAUCAUUUAAUCUUCUCUAUUACUGUAACCUUGGAGUGAGGAGAGGAUGAUAUAAAACUCUCAAAUUCUAUCCAGUUCCCAGUCAUUUAAAUUCCUUUUGAAUAUGAUACUCCAAGAAUUACCUUUCCUGUUGCAUGCAACUGUGAGAUAAAUAUCCUUUGCAAGUAAUAAAGAGUACUGGAAACUUAUUCCCUGAGAGGUGAAUGGCCCAGCCAAUUGUCCUACCAGAAAGAGACCUUUCUUCCAUUGCCAAUGAAAAUUUUAAUUUUGUGCAAGCCUCUUUUUUGUCUCACAACUUUGUAGUCCCAGAAUUUUGUGGAUCCAAAUGUGCAAGAUAUAUGUGAGAUAAAAAGAGGUCUCACACAACUAAUGACAGUUGUGCAAUAAAAAAAACUUGAUUUUUUCAUGCUCUACUCUUUUGUGUUCAGCUUUAAGAUCGACAUAUGCAUUUAACACAACAGUUGAAGCCUAAUGAUCCGAAAAAUACUUUUAGUUCUAGCAAUAUUAGACCUAUCAGGAAAUCUAUUUUACCAAUUUUCUCAUAUCUUGUCAUUUUGUCGUAUGUAAGCGUUCUUUGUCUUCCAUCAAAAGGCACACCCUCCCUUUACUCCUUCAAAGGCCACACCUCUUCUUCUUCAUCUUAAUUUAAACCAAACGUUGACUACUGUUCCUCUUAUUUUCUACACCCCACAAUAAAUCCCAUCUUUCUUCCUUGAUUAUUUUUUACUCUGCUCUAUGAUAUGUUCGUUAGCUAUCUCUCUUACGGAUAAUGCCGAAGUAUUUAUUUAUACUCUUAAAUUGAUGUGUGAACCCCACAAUAAAUCCCAUCUUUCUUCCUUUAAUUAUUUUUUACCCUGUUCUAUGAUGUGUUCAUUAGCUAUCUCUCUUACGGAUAAUGCCGAAGUGGUUAUUUAUAUUCUUAAAUUGAUGUGUGAAUAUAGAAAACUAUAAUACUGGUGUUCAUAAGAUUAGCAAAACCUUAUACUUCUUCAAUUCCAGUAGCACUUGCGAACUAAUUUUUUCUCAUCUUUUGUUUGUACCAACUGUAAUCCCAUCCGGAUCCUUUAACCAUGAAUCCCAAAUUGUGGUAUUGUUGUAAAUUGAAAUGAUCAGGCUGCUCAGUGCUCAGAUUUGUGGCCUCAGUGUCCACCGCGGAAGUUCCAGUCUUUUCCUUAUCAUGCUUAGACUUUGUUCGUGCCUCUGUAUUACAGGUUCUGCUAAAGAAUAUGAAGUUUUCACAUAUUUGAGUUAUAGGGAAAUCUCACAAAUGCGGAUUGAAUAUUUUAUAAAUAAACAAGUACAACUGAGAGCUGACAUAUAUAAAGGAGUUUUACCAGAUCAUUCAUGCAAAGAAUGAGUUCAAAUAUAUUUCUGUAUGUAAAAAUUUUCUAUAUGUUAUUGUCUUUGUGACUUUUGAAUCCAACAAUGACUCCGGAUAUAUUUAUAUAUACAAAGAUAUUACAUAUGUUAUUACAUUUAUGUAUUUUGAAUUAGAUUGUUGCAGAUAAUUAUAUUGUUGAGGUAGGAUUUUAUUUGUUUCAA